rnacentral:sRNA from 1 species
UCGACUCCACCGACGUCGCUGGUGACAC